rnacentral:rRNA from 1 species
UACGGGGGGGAGCAAGCGUUGUUCGGAUUUACUGGGCGUAAAGGGCGCGUAGGCGGUCAGCACAAGUCAGUUGUGAAAUCUCCGGGCUUAACUCGGAAAGGUCAACUGAUACUGUGCGACUAGAGUGCGGAAGGGGCAACUGGAAUUCUCGGUUGUAGCGGUGAAAUGCGUAGAUAUCGAGAGGAACACCUGCGGCGAAGGCGGGUUGCUGGGCCGACACUGACGCUGGAUGCGGCGAAAGCCAGGGGAGCGAACGGG